GGGAAACGCCAUAGCUCAGUGGCAGAGCAUUUCCCUUGCAUGCAGAAGUUCCCAGGUUCAAUCCCCAGCUGCCCCA